rnacentral:rRNA from 1 species
UAGCUAGUUGGUGAGGUAAAGGCUUACCAAGGCGACGAUCUGUAGCGGGUCUGAGAGGAUGAUCCGCCGCACUGGAACUGAGACACGGUCCAGACUCCUACGGGAGGCAGCAGUGGGGAAUUUUGGACAAUGGGGGCAACCCUGAUCCAGCCAUGCCGCGUGAGUGAAGAAGGCCUUCGGGUUGUAAAGCUCUUUCGGCCGGGAAGAAAUCGCAUGGGCCAAUACCCUGUGUGGAUGACGGUACCGGAAUAAGAAGCACCGGCUAACUACGUGCCAGCAGCCGCGGUAAUACGUAGGGUGCGAGCGUUAAUCGGAAUUACUGGGCGUAAAGCGUGCGCAGGCGGUUUUGUAAGACAGGCGUGAAAUCCCCGGGCUUAACCUGGGAACUGCGUUUGUGACUGCAAGGCUAGAGUACGGCAGAGGGGGGUGGAAUUCCACGUGUAGCAGUGAAAUGCGUAGAGAUGUGGAGGAACACCAAUGGCGAAGGCAGCCCCCUGGGUCGAUACUGACGCUCAUGCACGAAAGCGUGGGUAGCAAACAGGAUUAGAUACCCUGGUAGUCCACGCCCUAAACUAUGUCAACUAGGUGUUGGGUGGGUAAAACCAUUUAGUACCGUAGCUAACGCGUGAAGUUGACCGCCUGGGGAGUACGGCCGCAAGGUUAAAACUCAAAGGAAUUGACGGGGACCCGCACAAGCGGUGGAUGAUGUGGAUUAAUUCGAUGCAACGCGAAAAACCUUACCUACCCUUGACAUGCCAGGAACUUGCCAGAGAUGGCUUGGUGCCCGAAAGGGAGCCUGGACACAGGUGCUGCAUGGCUGUCGUCAGCUCGUGUCGUGAGAUGUUGGGUUAAGUCCCGCAACGAGCGCAACCCUUGUCGUUAAUUGCCAUCAUUUAGUUGGGCACUUUAACGAGACUGCCGGUGACAAACCGGAGGAAGGUGGGGAUGACGUCAAGUCCUCAUGGCCCUUAUGGGUAGGGCUUCACACGUCAUACAAUGGUCGGUACAAAGGGUUGCCAAGCCGCGAGGCGGAGCCAAUCCCAGAAAGCCGAUCGUAGUUCGGAUUGCAGGCUGCAACUCGCCUGCAUGGAGUCGGAAUCGCUAGUAAUCGUGGAUCAGCAUGUCACGGUGAAUACGUUCCCGGGUCUUGUACACACCGCCCGUCACACCAUGGGAGCGGGUUCCGCCAGAAGUAGGUAGCCUAACCGCAAGGGGGGCGCUUACCACGG